CCAUUUUAGUAGACCAACUUCGAGCUCUCAGCCUCCAGCAGUCCAGAUAGAGUUUGGGAAGAAGGAGAGCUUAGAAAGAGUAGAGAAGAGGAGAGAAAGUUGGGAGAGUGAGCAAGAGCUCAAGACCUAGUGAAAGAGGGUUAGUGCUGUAAUAAUUUAUAGAGAGAACUUAGUGGAAGUGUUGUCCAACUAGGGAUUAAGAAAUUUAAAAUCAAGGGGAGGUUCUGUCAAAAUCCAAACUAGCAACUAGACUUAAUCUUGAAAGAACGACUGACUUCUAGACGGCUAACCACUAACCUUUGACUAACCCCCUUGCACUAGUGUUUUUCUCUAUAAGAAUUUAUUGUAGGAUGAAGAGCUGCGCAAAGGGAAUCGCCAACAAGGUCUCGAGAAGGACCACAAGGAGCUCAUCCUGGUACACCUCGUCGAGGGCUGACUCCGACAUGAGCAUCGAUCCUCCUGCCGAUGCUCAGCCAUCAUCUUCAUCAGCUGCACAAUGGGUUCUCCUCACAGCAAAUCACCUUGCCUUGAGGGAUGCAAGAGAAAAGAACACCUAUAAUAAAUUAAGGAGCAGGAACUUUGUCCACACACCGGUUUUCGAUGAGGUGUUCCUCUAUGAUACAGGUAUGGCAACUGAACUUCACACUAUUUUCCAGUUUGUUGGUUGGAGUUUUUUUGCAUCUAUUACUAAGUUAGGGUCAAAGCUCUUAACCAUAGAAUUUCUAUGCACCCUUCAACUCACCCAGAUAGGAGUCUAUUUUAGGUUGUUUACCUAAGAGUUCUGUUUAGCAUGGAGAGUUCUUAGCGAUCUUUUAGGCUUUCCUUCAAAUACACAUCUAGAUCUAACUCAAGCCUUAAAAGAUUGUGACACCCAUAAGUUCUAGAUUGAAAUAUCUAAAGAGCCUUUCUUUCAUGGCAAUCGUACUCGGGACAUAGAACAUCCUAAGUUGAGGUUCUUACAUAAAUGGUUGGGUACAACUUUCUUUCCCCAAGUUGAUGCUAGUAAGAUUAUAGCUAUAGAUUUACAAUUAAUUUAUGCAGUAGUAAAGAAAAUAAGGGUGUCGUCUAUCCAUGCUUUAGUAGAUCAUUGGUUAAGCAUACCUGAAUAUAAAGUAGGAGAUGUAGCAAUUUGUUCUUUUGUUAUCCUGUUUAGCUGUUAAGCUUAAGUUACUUGAAGGUGCCUCUGUGGAUUUUAUUGAUACACAUAGACAAACUUAUGGGUAUGAACAUUUUAAUCAUGCGCACCUUGUAAAGAAAAUAAAAGGGGAUCUAUACAUGACAUAUGGGGACACCAAGCUUUAGUAACCUAACCCAGAGAUGGCACUGUAUUCUGUCCAAACUCUGCACAUUGAAUUUCAGGCACAACCAGUGAACAGGAGAGGAGCUCAGGGGGAGACUUCUAAGAGGGCACCUAAGAGGACAGCCUCUGAGAGAUUUGCUUGUCAACACGAGCCAGUCUGGCUUGGUGCUGACACAACUCAUGAAACACCGAUGCACACCAGCUAUGAUGAAUGGUAGGCACGCCAACACCGUGCACAGAAUCUUGGGAUGUAUCCUCUGUUCCAUCCUGACUACCAUCCCUAUGGGUAUUAUCCACCACCACCAUUCAUUCCCACAAGAGAAGGUCCCUCAAGAGAAGCUCCAAGGCUUUCAUUCAGCACAUAUGGAGAAAGGACAAAAGACGAGGAACAAGGCUUUGAGCAAGGACACAGGUCUAAUGCUUCUGGGUUCUUCUACACCCAGCAACAUUACAAUGAGCAAAUGGCAUUCCAAAACUACAUCCACACCUCUCUUGCUCACAAUGAGCAAAAUUGGAAUGACCAGUGUCAGUGGAACCAAACCACCACUCAGACGUUGGCAUCUAUUCAAGAAGGGUAAGAUCAAGCCAACAGCACCCUAAGUGACAUCUUUGUGUUCCUCCAGAUCCCUAAAGAAGACUAGCUUGGGAGAGGACCCCCAUUACCAAGGGGUUUAUCAGAAUAAUAACAAAAGGAGGUCCAUAUGUCAGAUUUACAUAGAGAGGAGACCCGAACGUCAACUCCAGAAGACUGCAGAAGACUCAUGAAGGCAUGCCCUAAAACCUAGGGCCCACCUGCCAUAGGCAGGGGCGGGCGCCAAGGCCAGGGUGGGGCAGCCGCCCGGGGGGUCUGGCCAAUCAGAGCCAACCUCGUGGAUUCUACCUCCACCAACUUUGAGGAUCAAUCUUAAGUGCACGUUUAUGUUGGUUUGAUCGAAGGGCUGUGGUGCUUCCUAGGGGGCUAUAAAUACAAGCCUACCCCCCUGGAAGAGUGGUCAUAAUUGAGAGAGAAAAAUAGAAUUAUAUUUUUAUUCUCAUCUGAGAAUUAGAGGGAGCCAUUAGAGCCAAGGAUUAGAGAUAGAUUAGCUACUCCUAAUCUUCAUCUUUUGCAUAGGUUAGAUUAGAUCAAGGAAGAGUCGGGCGUCUGUGCUCGGAAUUUCCAGAUCUUCAUCAUCAAAGAUUGGUAUAUUAUCUCUCUUUUGACUUUAUUCUAAUAUCAUUAUGUUCUUAUUUAUUA